rnacentral:rRNA from 1 species
CCUACGGGAGGCAGCAGUGGGGAAUUUUGGACAAUGGGCGCAAGCCUGAUCCAGCAAUGCCGCGUGAGUGAAGAAGGCCUUCGGGUUGUAAAGCUCUUUUGUCAGGGAAGAAACGGUGGAGGUUAAUACCUUCUGCUAAUGACGGUACCUGAAGAAUAAGCACCGGCUAACUACGUGCCAGCAGCCGCGGUAAUACGUAGGGUGCAAGCGUUAAUCGGAAUUACUGGGCGUAAAGCGUGCGCAGGCGGUUGUGCAAGACAGAUGUGAAAUCCCCGGGCUCAACCUGGGAAUUGCAUUUGUGACUGUACGGCUAGAGUGUGUCAGAGGGGGGUAGAAUUCCACGUGUAGCAGUGAAAUGCGUAGAGAUGUGGAGGAAUACCGAUGGCGAAGGCAGCCCCCUGGGAUAACACUGACGCUCAUGCACGAAAGCGUGGGGAGCAAACAGGAUUAGAUACCCUGGUAGUCCACGCCCUAAACGAUGUCUACUAGUUGUCGGGUCUUUAUUGACUUGGUAACGCAGCUAACGCGUGAAGUAGACCGCCUGGGGAUACGGUCGCAAGNUUAAAACGCAAAGGAAUUGACGGCUGAGGACAGCGACGACGACGACGAGGGAGGAGG